AUCUUUAGUUGCCAGCAGGUUAAGCUGGGCACUCUAAAGAAACUGCCCGUGAUAAGCGGGAGGAAGGUGUGGAUGACGUCAAGUCCUCAUGGCCCUUACGGGUUGGGCUACACACGUGCUACAAUGGUAGUGACAAUGGGUUAAUCCCAAAAAACUAUCUCAGUUCGGAUUGGGGUCUGCAACUCGACCCCAUGAAGUCGGAAUCGCUAGUAAUCGCGUAACAGCAUGACGCGGUGAAUACGUUCCCGGGCCUUGUACACACCGCCUGUCACACCAU
rnacentral:rRNA from 1 species